UUUAUGCUGACAGAUGAGGAGGACAGGAGGCGGAUCUACACAGGUGUUGACAAACUCCGUAAAUGGCCUCCAUUUAUGGUUGGCCACGUGUCUGGCUGACUCUCGCCUGUGCCAAUGCCUUCCAAUCCUGGAGCGUUAAUGGCACUCUCAUCAUCGUUCUCGACAGCCAUUGCCUUAUCGCUGCUGCAAGUUAUUUCUGCUCCUCCGUCUGUGUUAUCGGAUGGAUGUGGAAAUGACGACCAUGUCCAACAAGAUGGAAAAACGAAUGGAUGGAUGGAUGGUUUUCAUGGAGGAUUGUGAUGACAAUACAAGGAGUCAUAACUCUCAAAUGUCUCAUCCUCCACAUGGGUUAAUCAGUGAAGGAUCUGAUCAGUCUCCGAUAAGGCAUGAUUACUGUAGGCUACAAGUGUUUUAAUGCCUGUUAAGACCAUUCAUUUGACAAUUAAGCUAGCCUUUGAGACCAUCCUGAACUUCUGAGUUUUCAUGUCUGAAUCAAUUUCAGAUUUGGCAUCCCUAAUGUCUUUUAGUUUUUUUCUCUUUACAGGUGUCGGUAGAAGAGGUCAACCUACCCUUCAGACAACUGUGGAGAUAUUGAUACACAAGCGGUCAGAAGUCUUAUGUAUUGUAAUUGAGGGAUGAAAAUUGUGAGCAGUAACCAUCAGUUCAUACUUCAUACUUUUGCCAUGCUCCUGCUGCUCUUCUAUAUUGUCAAUAUGCAGUAUCUUGACCACUCAGAGGAAGACCCGUUGUGAGAGAUUGCGGGUAGAAGCGGCCGAAAUGGGUUAUCAGGAGGGUGUCUCCCUUAGAGAUAGGGUGAGAGGCUCAGCCAUCCAUGAGGAACUCUGAGAACAGCCACUGCUCCUUUGCAUAGAAAGGAGUCAGUUGAGGAGGUUUGGGCAUCUAGUAAGGAUGCCUAGGGCAGCGGUUGACGAUGGUGAUAAAUGUGUUUUUUGUAAUAAUAUUAACAUGCUGAUGUACUGUAAAUGUUUGAAAUAAACCAGGG
ensembl:lncRNA